AAUGAAUAGGUGGGGGAGAGAGAGAGAUGUUUCCAUCUGCUCUCUAAGAGGAAAGGAAGGGAUUCUUUCUGACUCUCAACAGGAAAUACCUGAUGAGUCCUACCAGGGGUUAUAGAGUAGAGACUGAUAGAACAGUUAGGGAGACCCUUACUCACUAUCUCUACCCCCAAUGCCCCUAGUGGUCAUAAGGAUAGUUGGUGCAAAAAGUUGAUGCACUGGUAGUCCAUCUCCAACACUUUCCCAGGCUGUGCAAUGUAGUCCUCUACAUUCCUCAUUUGUGUGUUUGUUUGUUUUAGUUGGCAAAUCUCAGCUGCAUAAGGUAAGCAGAGGCAAUUUUGCCAUCUGGUCUUCCUAGUGCUAUGCAAUGUGUUCCUUUUCAUUCCUCAUUUGUGUGUGAGUGUGUUUGUUUCUUUUAGGUCGUAAAUCUCAGAUGGGUAAGGUAAGCAGAGGCAAUUUUGCCAUCCUGUCUUUCUAGUGCUAAUCAAUGUGUUCCUUUACAUUCCUAGUGUGUGUGUUUGUGUGUGUUUGUUUUUAGGUGGUGAAUCCCAGCUGGAUAAGGUAAGCCGAGGCAAUUGCCAUCAGGUCUUAGCAGUGCUAUGCAAUGUGUUCCUGUUCAUUCCUUGUUGUUAUUUUGUGUUGUGUGUGUUUCUUUUAGGUGGCAAAUCUGAGCUGGGUAAGGUGGCAAAUCCCAGCUGGUUAAGGUAAGCAGAUGCAAUUGCCAUCAGGUCUUGCCCGUGCUAUGCAGUGUGUUCCUUUUCAUUGGGGGUGUUGUUGGUCCUCGUGGGGUGCAAGGUCUCCAUCUGAUUGAUUCUACCCCUGUUUAGGGGUGCCAGUCGGUCUGGCCUCAUAACUCCUGAGGUCUUGGCAAUGUCCUAGGCUAAUGCCUCCACAGGCGUUCCUUUGCCUCUGUCACCUGCUGGGGACUUGACUUCCCAGAGCUGUCUGCCUCUUGAGAGCUCUCAGCCGUCUGCCCCUCAUCACAGGCCAGGCCAUUUUAUAUAACCCUGAAAUCUCACAGCAACUCUCACGAGACCUGGCGAUCUCACUAUUGAUCUCGCGAGAGUUUGGAGUGUGAUCUUGCAAUAUGCUAACAACGUCCCACGAGAUCACGUCAGUGUCGGGUGACACUAGGUCACCUGACCAGGGGAGCCAGUAAGGCCUGCCGGUCUCAGCAGGUGGGGGUUGGGACCCGUCUGAGGGCGCAGCAUUCCCGCCCUGGUUGGGAACGUUCCCACCGGAACCCUCUGCACAUGGGAGGUGGGGGCUAGAGAUGUUGGGACCCUGACAGGUGUGUACGAAUGGUUCAAUAGCAAACUGGUCUGCUGCGAACCAGGCUGGUUCGAUGGUUUGAUCGCGAACCAGACAGGCCUUCAGGAAAGGUGGUCCAGUCCAAGGUCAAACCAAAUCAGCCCUGACCAGGAGGACAUGGUUCCCAUUUGGCCAUCCUCCGUGAGAAGUGGCUACAUGCAUGGGAUGGCCAAUGGGGUCAGUGUGGUGAUGCCGCUACUUAUGCACCACACAUGCUUCCUUCCUCCAACUUUGCAGGCUUUGCGGCUCCCGCCCACCCUCCCUAGUUCAGUGAGAGAUUAGCUGGUCGCUUAUGGGCCGAGUAGGAAUUUUUGGUCUUCACCUGAUUGGCUUUGUGUGGAGAUUUUUUCGCCUACUCCUCACUGAUUGUGUUUUAAAGGGAAUAACCCCCCUUUUAGGGGUGGGAGUCUGGUUGCAGGUUAAGUGGUCACUUUGGCAGGUGAAUGUGGGCUUUGGAGGUUAAGACCUCGAUUGGUGCUCAGCCAUAGGUACCUUUCAGGUAGAGAUGGAUUCAUGGAACAACCUUUCAGGGUUUUGUGGCCCAGGGGUGUCUGAGGUGGCCAGAGCCUAAGGGGUAUACUCAUGUGUCAAAUGGGCCGUAAGCCAGAAUUUGGCUUUUAAAAAGCCAAAUCUUGUCACCUAGCGAAUGAACCACUUUUAGGGCACUGUUCAGCUGACCCACUCAGAGCUUUGGGGCUGGAGGGGUGGUGACCAGUGUUGCCUCUAACAGGGAUUCCCAGAUGUUGUCUACAACUCCCAGAAUCCCAAGCUACAAUGGCUUUUGCUUGGGGAUUAUAGGAGUUGUAGUCCACAACAUCUGGGGAUCCAUGUUGGAGGGAACAGUGGUGGUGACCCUGGUGGCUACCUCCUUGACACAGUAAACUGUGUGGCUUGGUGGGGCUAUGCUGAGGUUUCAUAUGGCAUCUGCCAAGCCUGGCUGCUUUGCCCAACAGUGAGAGGAGCUCAACCCUCGCUAGGAGGCUGUGCCUACCCGAAAAGGGGAUUGGAGUUGCCCACACUCUAGUUUAUGGAGCUUAUAGUUAUACCUGUUGCAGAUCUCUGCAUAGUUUAUAGUUAAUAAAGUAGCCCUAGUUUUCAUCCAUA